rnacentral:lncRNA from 1 species
UGACUAUUCUUAUUAUCUAUAAUUUUUUUUUUGAUUUUCUCAGAUUUAUUGAUUGGCCAGAAACUAGACUCGAAAUCGACUUCCUCAUCGCUAAUGUCCAUGGGUUCAUAAAUUUUUUCUUGAAUUAUAUUUACAUCAGCAUGCUGGGUAGAUUCCUGUUCUAGAUUGAAUAUAUUCAGCUCAAUGAUCAUGUUCCCAAAAAAUAGUUUCAUAAGUCCAUUUCGAUAGUUGAUUUCAACAUUCACAGUAGCUAAGAAUGAUCUUCCUAAAAUAACA